rnacentral:rRNA from 1 species
UACGUAGGGUGCAAGCGUUGUCCGGAAUUAUUGGGCGUAAAGGGUGCGUAGGCGGUUUGGUAAGUCUUUUGUGAAAUCUCUGGGCUCAACUCAGAGUCUGCAAGGGAAACUGCCGGGCUGGAGUGUGGGAGAGGUGAGUGGAAUUUCCGGUGUAGCGGUGAAAUGCGUAGAUAUCGGAAGGAACACCUGUGGCGAAAGCGGCUCACUGGACCACAACUGACGCUGAUGCACGAAAGCUAGGGGAGCAAACAGG